rnacentral:rRNA from 1 species
UGGGGAAUAUUGCACAAUGGGCGCAAGCCUGAUGCAGCCAUGCCGCGUGUGUGAAGAAGGCCUUCGGGUUGUAAAGCACUUUCAGCGAGGAGGAAGGUGGUGAGCUUAAUACGCUCAUCAAUUGACGUUACUCGCAGAAGAAGCACCGGCUAACUCCGUGCCAGCAGCCGCGGUAAUACGGAGGGUGCAAGCGUUAAUCGGAAUUACUGGGCGUAAAGCGCACGCAGGCGGUUUGUUAAGUCAGAUGUGAAAAUCCCCGGGCUCAACCUGGGAACUGCAUUUGAAACUGGCAAGCUAGAGCCUCGUAGAGGGGGGUAGAAUUCCAGGUGUAGCGGUGAAAUGCGUAGAGAUCUGGAG